CCUUCGAUAGCUCAGCUGGUAGAGCGGAGGACUGUAGCAUCUUCCUAUGUUGUCAUCCUUAGGUCGCUGGUUCGAUUCCGGCUCGAAGGA
rnacentral:tRNA from 1 species